rnacentral:rRNA from 1 species
UACGGAGGAUGCAAGCGUUAUCCGGAAUGAUUGGGCGUAAAGCGUCCGCAGGUGGCUGUGUAAGUCUGCUGUUAAAGAGUGAGGCUCAACCUCAUAAAGGCAGUGGAAACUACAUGGCUAGAGUGCGUUCGGGGCAGAGGGAAUUCCUGGUGUAGCGGUGAAAUGCGUAGAGAUCAGGAAGAACACCGGAGGCGAAGGCGGCUUGCUGGGCGUGAUCUGACGCUGAGGCGCGAAAGCGUGGGGAGCGAACAGG